rnacentral:rRNA from 1 species
CCUACGGGAGGCUGCAGUAGGGAAUAUUGCUCAAUGGGGGAAACCCUGAAGCAGCAACGCCGCGUGGAGGAUGAAGGUUUUCGGAUUGUAAACUCCUUUUGUUAGAGAAGAUAAUGACGGUAUCUAACGAAUAAGCACCGGCUAACUCCGUGCCAGCAGCCGCGGUAAUACGGAGGGUGCAAGCGUUACUCGGAAUCACUGGGCGUAAAGAGCGCGUAGGCGGGAUAGCAGGGCAGAUGUGAAAUCCUAGGGCUUAACCAUAGAACUGCAUUUGAAACUGUUAUUCUAGAGUAUGGGAGAGGUAGGUGGAAUUCUUGGUGUAGGGGUAAAAUCCGUAGAGAUCAAGAGGAAUACUCAUUGCGAAGGCGACCUGCUAGAACAUAACUGACGCUGAUGCGCGAAAGCGUGGGGAGCAAACAGGAUUAGAUACCCCAGUAGUC